ensembl:lncRNA
UCUCUGUAUUUUGGGGUGGGGCUUCAAAGGUUUGAGAAGAGAUGGUAUAUUCAAAACUAGACAGAGGAGGAUGCUUUUUUAGUAUACACAGAUCUUGAUGUGCUGUGUGUUAUCAAACUUCCAGUUUCAGCCACAAUGUCAAUCCCCACAUUUAUUUUGCUUUUAGUAGUUGCAUGUGACAGUAAUGGUCAGACCAUUGAGCCAAUCAGAGAGGAGGUGUAUGCUCCAGCAGGUAGUAAUAUUACACUUUCAUGCACCUACUCAUCUGCAGUCUCUCUUCAAUGGUAUCUCCAGAACCCUGGAUCAGCUCCUCAGUAUAUCCUGCUUAUCCUGCAUGGUGUUGGGUCUCCAUCACGGGCUCCAGGUCUGGAUCCUCGACUGUCAGUCAAACUAAAUCAUGAGAAGAACCGUGUGGAUCUAGAGAUCUCCUCUGCUGAAGAGGAAGACUCUGCUAUGUACUACUGUGCACUGAUGCCCACAGUGAAAGGAAACCUACAAGCGCUGUACAAAAACCUAACCUGACACAUUCUAUACGUACAUGACAUGACCUACAGGUAAUGAUGCAUCUCAAGGUUUUUCUUUUUGACAGGAAACCUGGUGGGUGUGUUUAAAAACCAACAAUAUGUGAAGAGGAGGAGCAACAUUGUAAAUGCCUACUUAUUAUUUCAGAGUCAUAGCAGUGUUUUGGCUUUGCUGUUUUCUAAAAUAUACAUUAAUGUCUGAUCUGUAACAUAGAUAAAAUAUCAGACAGGGAAGGAGAUAUUAAUGAUAAUCUGAGUAUAAGAUAAUGUUUUGGGAUUUUCACCCUCCAGACAUUAUUUCCUAAAGGACUUAAUGAUGAAAUGCCUAUGUAUGUUAUGUUGUGAAUUUGAACAUGAAAUAUGUGUCUCUUGUAGAUUAUUCUGACCUUUUUCGUAAGAUGUACCCUAUGACUAAUGAAAACUUGCUAUGUCCUCAUUGAGAUUUUACAGACGUGUUUAAUAUGCCUUAUUUAUACACUUUUGUAAUAAUUAUGAAAUGCAUAUUGUUAUAUUUGGUAGCACUUAUUUAUUUUUCCUUUGCCUCCAACCCCCUUCGAUGUGUAGAACGGAUGUGGGUGGGGCCAGGUCCACAUAAUGGUGCAACUUUCAAAAAAUCCCCAAACCUCUGACGAAGGCCGUGUGGCCGAUACGUAAGCUUAUUAAAGAUAGGUGAUACUAUCAAGAGCAGUGUGCUGUUUCCUUUUUCCUUCAUCUUGUUCAAUUGUUGCCAUGCACCUGCAAAUUAGAUUGCUCAGAUGUGCGAGUGCCUUUUGAAUUUUGAUCUGUAACAUAGACCAUGAUGCUACUCUGUUAUAUUCUACUGAUUUCAGCCCUUGUAGGUGAUACUUUAGAGGAUGAUAUUACUCCAACCAGUCCUGAGGAGUAUUAUUUAGAGGGUAGUAGAGUUAAGAUCUCCUGUAACUAUAAAGUAAUAGCAGAUAUUCUGCUGUGCUAUAGACAUUAUUCUGGAUCAGGUCUCCAAUUCCUUUACCUCAUAACAACUAUUAAUAAUCCAUAUGAAUUGAGAGUUGAUCCACAAGACAUUCUACUGUCUG